GACGAACGCUGGCGGCGUGCUUAACACAUGCAAGUCGAACGGAAAGGCCCUGCUUUUGUGGGGUGCUCGAGUGGCGAACGGGUGAGUAACACGUGAGUAACCUGCCCUUGACUUUGGGAUAACUUCAGGAAACUGGGGCUAAUACCGGAUAGGAGCUCCUGCUGCAUGGUGGGGGGUGGAAAGUUUCGGCGGUUGGGGAUGGACUCGCGGCUUAUCAGCUUGCUGGUGGGGUAGUGGCUUACCAAGGCUUUGACGGGUAGCCGGCCUGAGAGGGUGACCGGCCACAUUGGGACUGAGAUACGGCCCAGACUCCUACGGGAGGCAGCAGUGGGGAAUAUUGCACAAUGGGCGGAAGCCUGAUGCAGCAACGCCGCGUGCGGGAUGACGGCCUUCGGGUUGUAAACCGCUUUCGCCUGUGACGAAGCGUGAGUGACGGUAAUGGGUAAAGAAGCACCGGCUAACUACGUG
rnacentral:rRNA from 1 species